UCCCUGACGAGAGCCACCGGAGAAGAUUACCGACCAUACGUCAUUCACGGAGAUAACAUUCCAGCCCUUACGUGUGCAAACAAACCUGGAGCACCAACGUUGAAACACGUUACAGAGAUCAAGAUGCAUUAUAUUUUGAAUGCUGUAAUCGAGAAUCAAGUCACUUUAGAGUGGGUUAGAUCAGCUGACCAAGACGCUGACAUUUUGACGAAAGCCUUACCGAAAGAGACGUUUAUAGAGCAGAGAGACAGAUUACUGAGUGAAAUUAAGUAGAGUUUUCAUCCCCGAGCCCGUCCCGCCAUGAAUUCAGAGUAAACAGAGUAGUACAGACUAAUACAGAUAUGCGUAUGUGUUUAUUAAUUGUUUUAGAUCCUGGUUCAAUUGAAGACGCGAUUGAAGGUCUGCAUCAAUUAAUCGAGAUGUCGCGUAUUUACCACUUUGCGCUGGAUGAACACCCGCAACGCGUAUUAAUGAUGCUGCGAACAGAGAACCUGACUAUUGAUGAACGUAGACGUCAGAGAAAUCGCGAACGGAGACACCGCAAUCGAGUGCAUCGCCGAAACGCCGAUAACGUAGACGACGGUAUUGACGUCGAUUAUUUUUCCGAUUCUGAAGAUCGUGGUCCAGGCGAUGCUGCGCCGAAUUUUCAAUUACUAGGCGAACGUUUACUUGAUGAAGCCUAUCAACGGAGAAAUCAACACGAUAACGACGAUCAACCAAUGGGAUAAACAGAGAGAAAAACAGAGAAAAAUUUUUUAUUUGUAAUUUGUCGUUGAAUUGUUCCGAAUAUUCAUGUGUUGAAUCUGUGUUCCUGUUUAUUUGAAUUUUGUGAUUUAUUUGUUCCUGUUAAUUAUAAGCUGUAAAUAUGUUUUUGCGAAAGAUGAGUCGCGCAGGGAGGGAGUGUUAGCCGCCAGGCUGCGCUCCUCAACACAGAGAUACUCCGCCCGUGUAACGCGGCCCUGCCGCGCUACGAGCUACGUACGCUCGUGUAACUAUUCGCACUUGCUGUUUUGUUAUACUACGUGUUAGAUGUGUUCUCCGUAUUAUUCCGAGUAUUGUUUUGUUUGAUGAAGUUAUUAUUGUUUGAAUAAUAUAUUAAUUGAUUAAUUAAUAUUCUCCGUGUCGACUCGUUAUUUCCGUAAUUAUCGAUUACUCCAAGUUCUCGCCGAUAUCACAAUGUUCUGAAAUAAUCGUGAAACUCGAUCACUCGUUAUGUUUAUAGAUUUCUUCUGGAGAUUUUUAGAAUUUUUGGUGGCUGCUGCAUUCUCAGGCGCAUUUUUUUAUUCGUUUUUUAACGUACUUCGACACAGAUGUUUAAUGCUAACCGUUUCUAUCUUUUUAUUAUGGUUCUUUGCAUUCUCUACACUUUUCACAAUGAUCAUGGUGAUCAAAGUUGCAAAUUUCUGGGACGUGAUUUUGUAUCUUUUAGUGUUAAUAUUUCGCGCUGUUUUUAACCUAUAUUCCAUAUGGAUAUUGUACAGUUACAAAGUGCAAUUCAGAAAACCUGUUCCGGUUAACAUAUGAAAUGAAUUUUGACAGGAAAUGUGUGCAUUUUUGAAAAAGGAAUAAGUACUUCUAUAAUUUCCAUGCACAAUUCAUUUUCUAUUUCAAUGGACUGUUUUUUUUUUCAUUUUUAUUGUGUAAUAUUAUUAUUGAUUUAAGAAAAAUGUACCUUAUACCUACUCGUAUUACACAGUUGGGCAGUGAGCACUGUCAAGUAUCGAGUACAUAUCUGUAUAAUCCUCUGGAUAAGUACCUACCUAUACCGUAGUUUAUAUCUGUGUUUCAUUUUCUUUGUCAUUGAAAUUUUACAAAAGAAUGUGAAAUUAUUGAAAAUUGUUCCUGUUUGAAUAUAAGAAAAUUAUGAAAAAAAUAUAUCUACUAUCAUAUUGUAAAUGUACCUAUGUGUAGAUACAUAUAAUACUUAAUGUUAAAUUAAUUUUUUAAUUUUAACAAAAUGUUUUAUACCUAAGUACGUUUAUUUUAUUCUGGAGGUGGUAUCUAUAAAAUAUUUUCGACUAGUUUGUAAGAAUGUCCAAUGCUGUCCAUCAUCUAAGUAAGACCCAUAGCAGUGUGAUUUUUAGAAAAUAAAAAUUGUGUUUUAUCGUU